rnacentral:lncRNA from 1 species
AUUUAUGAUCGAAGGUAAAUAAUGGAUUGUGAAAGAUAUGAAUGGUGCCCUAAGGCAUAGGAGGAAUAAUUAGAAGUAUGCUCGCCAAGGAUUCGCAUCCCCGUGCCUACGUAUUCUCAUUGUGCAAUGAGAAAGUCAGAGCAAUUGUAGUUCAGAACCACGAGAAUAGAAAGAGAGACAUACAGUGACGAAGAGUAUAACUUGUACCAACAGGAUGGUAUCAAAAGGUAUUUGUCCAAGCAACGAGGACUC